rnacentral:rRNA from 1 species
CGGGGGUAAGGAUUGACGGACUGAAGGCUCUUUCUCGAUUCCGUGGAAAGUGGUGCAUGGCCGUUUUUGGUUGGUGGAUCGAUCCGUCUGGUUAAUUCCGUUAACGAACGAGACCUCGGCACUCCGAAUAGCGCGGCGGACGUCGCGGCCUCCGGGCCGUCUUCCGCACGAGCUUCUUAGAGGGACCGUCCCCCGCCGGGGAAGGAGGUGCGAGGCAACGACAGGUCUGUGAUGCCCUUAGAUGUUCUGGGCCGCACGCGCAUUACACUGACGCGUCCAACGGGUGACUCCCGACCCGAAGGGGCCGGGGAAUCCGCAAGGCGCGUCGUGAUGGGGAUUGAACGUUGCAAUUGUUGUUCACGAACGAGGAAUUCCUAGUAGGCGCGGGUCAUCAACCCGCGCCGAUUACGUCCCUGCCCCUUUGUA